UAACACAUGCAAGUCGAACGAUGAUGCCCAGCUUGCUGGGCGGAUUAGUGGCGAACGGGUGAGUAACACGUGGGUGAUCUGCCCUGCACUUCGGGAUAAGCCUGGGAAACUGGGUCUAAUACCGGAUAUGACCACAGGAUGCAUGUUUUGUGGUGGAAAGGUUUACUGGUGCAGGAUGAGCCCGCGGCCUAUCAGCUUGUUGGUGGGGUAAUGGCCUACCAAGGCGACGACGGGUAGCCGGCCUGAGAGGGCGACCGGCCACACUGGGACUGAGACACGGCCCAGACUCCUACGGGAGGCAGCAGUGGGGAAUAUUGCACAAUGGGCGAAAGCCUGAUGCAGCGACGCCGCGUGAGGGAUGACGGCCUUCGGGUUGUAAACCUCUUUCAGCAGGGACGAAGCGCAAGUGACUGUACCUGCAGAAGAAGCACCGGCUAACUACGUGCCAGCAGCCGCGGUAAUACGUAGGGUGCGAGCGUUGUCCGGAAUUACUGGGCGUAAAGAGUUCGUCGGCGGUUUGUCGCGUCGUGUGUGAAAUCCCGCAGCUCAACUGCGGGCUUGCCGGCGAUACGGGCAGACUUGAGUACUGCAGGGGAGACUGGAAUUCCUGGUGUAGCGGUGAAAUGCGCAGAUAUCAGGAGGAACACCGGUGGCGAAGGCGGGUCUCUGGGCAGUAACUGACGCUGAGGAACGAAAGCGUGGGUAGCGAAC
rnacentral:rRNA from 1 species